UUGAUCCUUCCCUGCUCAGAGCAACAUCAGAAUCCAUUGCUGUUGCAGGAGAAGAGACUCUGGCUUCACACAGUCUGUGAGGAUCCUCAGACCUUUGCAAAAAUGCUCAGAUUCUCACAGAGUUUGAGCCUUUUAGAUUCUCACAGAGUUUGAGCCUUUUCUGCAAGCUGGUCUAGGGGCACUGGGCACCUCCUCUGGGAGAACACCACUGGAGCAGACAGCCUGUGUCAGUGGCAGCUGGGCUGCUGUCGGAACAAUGAAUCCUGGCUGGAGAAGGACAGAACAGAAGCCAUGUCCAAAAAACCAUCUCUAAUGUGAUUUGGGGUUUUUUUUCAUUGUGCUGUAGGCCUUAAUUCAUUUCAAACUGUUUUCUUCUGUGUCCUUCAGUUGCUUCCCCACUACUGCUCCAUAUAUUUAAAGCAAAUGACCCCGAAAAGAGAGGAAGUCCGUUUAAAAGAGCUACUGAGCUUUUGUGCAAAGCCCAGAAUAUUUUUUUCUGCACAACCAGUGGAGAAAUGAGAAUAGCUUGGCCAGUUUCAAGAGAAAAUUCUCCAUCUUUAGUGAGCAUUUAGACUGCAGUAAAGAUCGAACUACAAAGCCAAAGGCAAAACUACAGAGGAGGCUUACAGGCUAGGUGGGCAGUUUGCUGCAGGAGCAGGGAAGUAAGCCUUACCCAUUGCUUCUCUUGUAGUGGGAAUUUGCCAUUCCGCUGGCACUGUAAACACAGCAAAGAGGUUUUAUCACAAAGAAGUCUGAAAAGGUGUCAGUUUGCAAAACUGAAGGAGCUGGCAGGAUUUAAAUUCCAGAAACAAAACUGCUAUAAUUGUUUUCCCUCUUGUUCAUUUUGUCUGAUUAUAGUCCAGAGCCAAAAAUACUUCAGUAGCUUGCAAAGCUGGAAGCUAACCAGGUUAUCAAAAUGGGCUCCAGCUCACUGAGGGAUGGCAAGAAAUAUGCUUUUCUUCUUUAGGAUGCUGUUAAUAGUUUUGUAUUGCUUGCCAGCUUAUUAAAACUUUGAAUUUAUUUGAGAGGAGGUGGCUAAUUGAGGAAGAUCCUUGAUUUUUCUUUGAAGAAAACAAGUUUGCUGUGUACAGUUCAUAUAAAUAGGGAGAGAAAGAGACGUCUGACUAAUUAUGAAAGGUAUGGUGAAAUCUAGCUCGCAGUCCCUGUUUUACACAUAGCCCUUUCCGUAUGCCAAGUUAGGACCCAUGCAGGUGAAUGUCACCCUAACAGCCUACUUACACUGAAAAAUUACUCCUGUUAUCUUGGGUUCCCCAUGUCCUGUACUAAUACACACAGAAUUAAGCACACUUAGCGCUUGUACGUUGUCAAAGAUUGAUGUGAAUCGCAAACUUUUAAUGAUAUGUUAAGCAUGACAGUCUCUCGCAUCCAGAAGAGCAGGUCUUGUUAGUAAGCCUAAGAAUCAGCAGGAGCUUGUGCAAGUGGUCGCACCAAAUGGUUGUCAAGCUAUGAAAGCAACAGGUAAUUCAGGUGCAGUAUCUCACAGACUACUGUAAUUUUUAAAGUGAGCUUUGUGAGCUUGUGCUCAGGCUUAUACAGGUAGUGUGUGUCAAGUUAAAGCUACAUGAAGCAUUUUUUUUGCUUCACUCCACAAGCUGUUUGCACAAGAGUUACAGGUAUAAGUUAUCAGCGUGCUAUUGAUAGAUAUUGCAAUAAUUAUUUUUAUUACUUCAUUAUCAUGUAUUUGGAGCUCUGCAGUGACAGUAAUAAUAAUUUAAAAAAAAAAAAUUAUUAGCCACAAAGGAAUGCUUAUUCAUGGUGACUUUAAAAUGUCAUAGCGAUGCUCUGAAGCAGUACAGAAACUGUGAAGUUUAAUGCAUAUAGCCAACAGGGCAUUAAAGCUUUAUGGCUCAAGAACUCCACUAUGAACACAUAACAAUAUUUUUCUUCUAACAUAGUUGCAUCUUCAUAAAAUCUGUUAAACUGCAGCUUGCAGAUGAAGUCUGAAGUACAAAACAAAUUAAAGUACAGUAACCCUGAAAGGACAAAUUGAUCUAACCAGAGCUGUAUUACUUACAGGAAAAAGAAUUGGGAUUACUGAUGGCUCACUGCACAGAAACAGCAUUUACUAUGAUGGAAAAGUGUAUACCAUGGAUUAACUCUGUCAGUUUUGCACUGGCCUGUUUCUCAUUUUACAUGGCCAACACUUUGAUCCAUGCUAUAAUGUAGGUACUUACAAUCCUGGGAAACUUGCUGCCCCAAACUAAAGAUGAAAUAAUUUAAUCAUAGGUACUUGGACAGGCAUUUUUCAAACCAAUUUAAUUAUGUUUCAUUGUUUACAGCCUGUGUCUUUCUGUGAGUAUUACAUCCGGAGAUAAUUUAAGAGCACAACCUGCUUGUAGGCUUAGGUGUGUGGAACAUUUGAAAGAAAAUGCAAAAUUGGUUAGUUGUUACAGUUCAUAACUCCAGACUAUUCAAGUUUGAAUAUCUUUGUGUUUUCUUUUCUUUUUCUGUUAAGGAAUUUACUCUUUUUAUGAAUUUCUGUCUCUAAUUUUGCCAUUCCUCUGCCUGUAAAUACAUAUAUUCUUAUGUAGUUUAGGAAUGAAUGAUAGCAUUACAGUGAUUUCAGACAGAUUUUGAGUUCUGCUAUAUUCCUAUAACAUCUCAGAAGUUCCAGGGGCCUCAGAAGGGUUGUUCCAGAUUUACAGUUGUAUAACCCCAGCAGAAUUUUAUCAUUUUAUAUUUGCAUUCAGAUCCAAUGCUUUAGUCAUCCAGGUCCCUAAGCUGGUUAUCCAGUCCAGUUCUUAGUGCUGUUUUAACUGUUGCACUCACAACUUUUAUGAAUUUCAUAUAACAUUAGAUGACAGUAAAUAGGUAAAAAGAUAAACUGAGCUUUUAAAGAUGGAACCUGCUGAUAUAUUUUACUAAUUUCUAGAUCUAUUAUGUCACUAGUACUCUUUGGAAAAGUUCUAAUUUACAAAAUAUGAUCUCAUGGUAUGUUUUAUCUUAUUGGCUUCUUGCCGUAUUGCCAGAAUGCAGUGCAUUCAGAGAGAGGCAACCAAAAUGCAUGCUUCAGCAGCCUAUGCAUGCAAAGAAAGAGAGCAAAGCUGGUUUUCAUUUUGUAGAAACAGAUCCUAGUUACAGUAUACCUCCAACUGAAUGGCUUUUUAUUAUUAGUUUUAUGUUUUUGAUUUUCAUUGGGUUCUUUGGUUUUAUGUUUUUGAGGCAUGUGUAUCUCAUGUUCACAGGAGUAGUCCAAGUUUCAGAAGUUUUCUUAGGGUGAAUUUAACGCUUUUAAAAGCAUCACUGGAAACCAUCAUUCUCUGCCUGCUCACAAAUGCAGCAACUCUUUCUGCACUAUUCACGAAAGAUCCCUUACAAAAUACUACAUAUUUUUCCACCCUUGCUCAGAAGUAGUUUAUUGGCAUGCAAGGACCAAAGCUCCUGAAUCAGUGUCACUUAUUUUACACAGAAGAGCCAGACAGAGGUGUAGCACAAGCCCCUGCUUGCCCUUUUCUUUUCCUGGAGCAUCCUGCGUGACCACCAAGGUGAAUGACCUAGGCUGCUCCUUUACAAAACCUUGUGCUGCUCCUGAGACCGGCAGAAGAAAACACAACUGUGAGGUGGUCAGACGUCCCUGGCAGCUCCUGCCCAGCACAGACGCAGCACAGACCUUCCUUCACCCGCUCGUGCAGAGAGAACAACAGACCUCAACUGGUGCUUGGCUGGCGGGAAUGGGAGCACCACCAGGCACAAGCCUUGCCUUGAACUGCCCCACCUGUGCUCCGCAGAAGACAAAAACGCACCAUGUAGGCCCUUCAGUCUGCCUAUAGGCAACCUUCAGAGGAUCGAUGCUGGCUGUCGCACAGAACGCUGCAACAUGGAGCAUGUGGCUUGUGCCACAGAUGCCAUCACAGCAGUGGUGCUGUAGGCCCUACAUGGAGAAUUCACAGAGCCCCGUGCUGUGACAGUAACAUCCACCACAAACACACUGAGACAGUGAAUCUGAAUCUUGUUUUGCAAGAACCUGAUAGCGGACAAUUCUGUGUCUUGUACUUCUUUAUAAAAGAGAUGGUGUUCGUGCUUCACUGCACUUAACACCAUAUUACAUAUUCUAUAGUUGCAGGCUAGGUGCAUGCACAGAUUUGCCAGCAGUGGCUAUGAUUGCACAAAUAUGCAACAAGGAGUGUUAACGACAUGCUUCGCUCCAGAAAGUCAGUUAAAAUCCUGAGAGGAGACUGAUGGUAGUUCAGUGAAAUUUCGUCACUCCCAAAGAGGUGACUGGAAGAAUAAGUCAUUCCCAAAGGACUCCUCAGGAACAGUCCAAAGCUACAGGCCAGAUCAUUUAUUUUAGAAUACUGUUGCCUGAGCCCAUCUAUUGUUGGGUCUGAUGCAGCUUUUAUUCUUGUCAACUCAGCAUCCUCAGUUUUCUUGCAAAUCAUUUACCGCACACUGGAGAUGUAUCAUGGUGUGGGAAAUAACAGAUUUUUUUCUGAACAGCUAUCAUCAUUCAGCUUCCAGAAAGUACUACUGAAGGUAGGUAUGCUCACUGUGCUCACUGAUAAAGUAAGUCCAAUGGAGAGACAGGGCUCUAAUCCAAUUUGUUUCACAAAUAGAGCUAAGGAACAAGCAGCAUCAAGGAGCAAGCCAGCUAGCAGCAGUCAAACACUGUAUCCUACGUACUAACAUUAACUUUAAUGACACAGUCCAUGAACUUUUUAGAAGGCACAGAGAAUACUGGGAGUGGAAGGAACAGAAGUUUUUGAUGGAGGGAAAUAGCAUUCACAUUUCAAUAAGCUCCAAAAAUGCCUUUUCCAAACAGAGGUGCUUUGUGUUACGCCAUUCCUGUUGGCCGUUUGGGGGUUUUUCAUUAGAUGUAUGAACUUCUUGCCAUAGUAAUAAAGGUCAGGCACUAUUGUGCUUCUUUUAUGAUACUCACUAGCACAAGUCAUGUAUACAAACCCAGGAAGUAUUUAUUUAUGUGGAAUACGUACUUAAAUAGUGGACUACAAAUCAUUUAAAGAUGCCUAUGAUAUGAAUCAUACCACAAUUUCAUGGAUAAGUGGAAACAUUAUGCAACUUACUGAGUUUUUAAAGCACUAACGAAUGUGAACUAUACAGCAGACUUGAGCUGGACCUUUUCACCCCUUCUAAUAUAUGCUGUUGCUAUUUAAUAUUCCUCACUAGGGAGUAAUGCUGGCAUACAAGUCAGCAAUAUAUUAGGCACUGGAGCCAUGAACCUAGUGAGAACAUAAACUAAACUGAUUUUCAAUUUUGGUACAUUACAAAAAGGACUAUUAUUGUGAGGUUAGGAUGUCAAAGUUGGUGACCUGGUAUAAUGAAGUAUUCCCUGCCACAUAGUCAAGCGUGAAAAGUAAUUGGAGGCGGUAUAAACUUUUAGAGGCUUAGGGUUUUUUCCCUCCCAAAUUAAAUAUUCUUUUGCACACACUUUUUUUUUUAAUUAAAAAUAGUCAUUUUUGUGAAGCAUCAUAAAAGCAGAAAUGAUGCUCCCGUAAAGUUUGCAGUUGAUGGAGAAACAUGUGUGUUUAGAAAUGAGGUCACAUCUUAACGCUUGGGUUACUUACAUAAGGCACUGAUGAAAAGCAAGUUGCUACCUGCCAGCUAGGAAUGACAUUAAAAUAUUAUGGCAGCAUGUGACCAGCUUUAGAGCUUAAAAUCUUGAAAGGACACAGACAAUGUCCCCUUUGAAGAAUACUCCUGAAGACCACUUUACAGUUUCUGCUAAGCUUUAAAACACGGAGUAAAGUGCCCCAUGUCUAAGCAGCAACGAUAAAAGUUGUUACUUCUUAGCUGCAACAUUUACAUCUGAAAAACCAGCACCAAAGUGUGCACAGGUCUUUCAGCUUGCCCGUCAAAGAAAAAGGGUUAGCAUUUAGUGUAGGGAAUGGUGCGUUAGUACUGCGAAUCCCAUACUCCAGGUGUUCAUUAUGGCUCCACAUCCCGACUUUCUGCACUGGCUUUGACCAAGUUAUUCUCGAUUUCCUCUGGCACAAGCAUUGCGUGAGCUGGCACAGCAUCACUCCCCAGGAACUAGACUGCAGAGGGCACUCCUAUAUAAGAAGGAAUUGCAGUCUCCAGGCUCAUUUACUUUUAGCCUCGAUGAUUCAUUGUUAUUUUUUCUUCUUUAAUAAUUAAUGAUGCUAUUAUUACACUAAAAGGAAAAUCUUAUUAUUCUUGACAAUUGGUUUUGUUAUGAUUAUUUAUUUCCCCCUCCCCCCAAGUUUAUACAAUUACAAUGUCUGUCAGUGCUUGUAUCAUGUUCGGGUUGUCAGCCUCAGAAAUUAAAUGUACACAGAAGGAUGACCUAUUGAUAUACCAUCCCUAGGUAUAACUUGAGGGAAGCAUGGAUGAGGACGGAGACAGCUUUUGCCAUGUGGCUGGGAAGUCAGAGAGAUUCUGCCUGAGGCAGGCCAUCCAUGGAGCAAUAUGAAAGCUACCUUCCCCUUCCUCUCGUCCUGUUUCUGAAAGGGUUUGUUGGAAGCAUUACUUUGGUCUGGAUUUCAGCUGUGACAGCGAGGAAAGACGCAGUCUCUCAAACAACAGGUCCUGAGCCUCAUGGGGUGGAUUUCUGCCCCCUGAACUGCUCUUCAGGAGGUGAGGCUGGACAAACAUGCUGCAGCUAAAUGUGGCCAGAGAUAUGCAGUUUACAUGGCACAGCAGAGGCAGGGGGGUGCAAAGCAUGUGGCAGAGGCAGUGCAAUAGACUGGGGACUCUCUGAAUAGCAGGCAGCUGGGUUAAGGCUACCAUAAUGCAAACUACUCUCUAGAGCUGUUACAUGAGGCCAUUAAAACCCUGAGGUGCCUCAAGACUGGAAAGAAGCAAGUGUAGUUUAUGGCUACUUUAGCCACGCCCUCCCCUUCCCUUUUAUGAAUUAGAGGUAAAGCCUGUAAUGGCAUCACCCAACAUCUCAGCCUUAAGGCUGAAUAGCUUAAAGCCAACAGAAGUAAUUCUGGAAGUUCAGCUGGAGCCUAUGCAACUCCUACAUUGCAGUUUAAAUGUGCUUCCAAUAUUUAGCUUUGUUUAAUGAGAACAAGUCUGUACUAGCUUUGGCUUCUGCAGGGGAUACAGCUCAUGUAUCAUCCAACCGACAACAGAAGGGUCAUUUCAUUUCCUGUGGGUAGUGGAAAGUGAUCUGCCUUUUCACACUUACUUCUGGAAACUUGUCACAGGGAAAGUGUAGGAUCCGGCUAACGCUGUGCAAAAGAGCUGACCAAGCAAGGAUAGUGGGACCUGGCUGAUGGAGCAGCAAAUACACUUCCACAGCUGAGCCUUGAAUCAUGUUUAUUUUCAAACUGAAGACCUCACAUUUCAAGUGAGACAUUUGCUCAGUAAAAUGCAUGCAUUUCGUAUUUCAUUACCCCAUGCUGUAUAUCUCAUACAGUGGUUAAGAAAUGAAGAAGUGUGGAAAGGACAGUUAUUCGGGAGAGCUGUAACCAUAAAGAUUCCACUGAACAGGAUUUUCCCUUGUUCCAAACUGUUAUCUCACUAGAUGAAAACAUUGUGCUUUAUGAUUAAGCUAAUUGUGUUGGACAAGCCAGUCUGCAGCUGUAGAAGCCUGGAUUUUCAAAUGUGCUGAGCACUGGCAACCGCAACCAAAGUCAGUGGGGGCAUUUAAAGUGCAAUUAAAUGUGAAGUUCUCCGAAAAUUCAGGCCAGAGGCUAUCUGUAAAACGGGAGCAGAGAUGCUACUUUGCCUCACAGGGGUACUGUGAAAAUUUGUGGCACAGCUACUUACACUAGUGAGAAGUUACACUGGAAAGUCUGUGGAAAAAAAGUGCCUUUUUUCAGACCAGGGUUUGGCUAUAAAUGUUAAAAUAAGGCCUUGAGCCACCAACUGAACAGUGAAGAGGAAACAAACUUGUAUGGCUUGCCCAUUUGUAGACUGAAUGGAUGAUGGAUCAUGGCCCCUCCCUCCCAAAACAGGUUAAAAAUCAUAAUAGUAUACCACAUGGGCUGAAUUAAUGUUAUGCAAGCAUAUCUAAUGCUAGCAUUCCCUAGAGCAUUCCCCUUAAACAGGGUGUGUGGUAUUUUUUAAAAUAUAUGUACUAUAUUUAUAAAUAUAGGUAAUAUGCAUAAACAAUGUAUAUUUGAGUAAGAAAUCUCUAUAGAUAAUCCAGCAAAGGGAGAUGAGGAUGAUUAGGGGACUGGCACAUCUGACAUGUGAGGAGAGGCUGAGAGAGGUGGGACUGCUGAGCCUGGAGAGGAGGAGAAGAGAAGGCUCGUGGUGGGAAUCUCAUCAAUGCGUGCAAAUGCCCAAAAGGAGGGUGUAAAGAAGACAGAGACUACCUCUUCUUAGUGGCAUCCAUUGAAAGGAUAGGAGACAAUGGGCACAAAUUGAAACACAGGAGAUUCCAUUAACAAAAAUGUAAGAAAAAAGGAUUUUUACUACAUGGAUGAUCAAACACUGGAACAAGUUGCCCAGUGAGAUUGCGCAGUCUCUAUCCCUGGAGUUAUUCAAAACUCCACUGGACAAAAUCCCGAGCAACCUGCUCUCAUUGACUCUGCUUUUAUCAGGAGGUUGGACUAGAUGGUCUCCAGAGGUGCCUUCCAACCUCAACCAUCCUGUGAUAAGCGAGGCAAUAUUUUUUUCCAAUUUCUCCUUUAUUCACUUUCCUUGCAGUGUUGGCAGAAUAGAUUGGUUUGCAUCCUGUUCUGGUUUGGGGUUUCUGCUUUUUUUUCUCCUUUAUCAACUCUAUCUUUUCCUUUUGUGGAUGCUGCUCUCUAAUUUUACAGGUUAUUGUAGUGUUCUGCUAGGUCUCCUGAAGUUAAAACCUCUUUCUUCUUUUGUGAGUGAGGCUUCAGAGCAACAUCGCUAAGUGCACCACUGAGAAAUAAAAAUUAAACAAAAUAUGGCAUAGAAUGUAGCAGAAACUGAAAUGAAAGUAUUCUCCUAAUGUCACUACAGUAGAAACUGAAUCUAUUUCAGUGUACUUUUUCAACUGAAUAGGGAAAACACUUGUAAUAGGUGAGGACUAAUUUGCCCGCAACUACCUAUAAACUGAAGAAGUGACCAAGAACAAGGGCUGACGUAAUAAUAGUGGUAAGGUGAAAUUAUUAUAUAAGAACAGAAAUUUGUAAUUUAACUCGUUUGGGGGAGUGGUUCUAAGGAAUAAAAAUACCAAAGUUGAAUACCCAUAAUAACAACAGUUAGAAUUAGCAGUAACUAUUGCCCUGCAGCCUGCUGUUACAGCUGAGACAGUUUUGUAAUGUUUUAGAUACUAUGACACAGUCUUUUAUAUGCUUCUCUACCUAAAUGUUACAGCAAAACUAUAUCCUAUUGCCUUAACAUAUUUCCUGCCUUUCCAUGAACGAUUGUGAUUGACCUACUCACUUUACAGUCAUUUUUUGAUAGGUUUUCAAGGUAGUAUUUAACCAUAUAGUGACUGACAUGACAUAAACUCAGCAGUGUACCUUGCCAGGGUGAUGGGAACGUUUUUAAAGCUGCAUAACGCAUGGAAAUGUAGCAAACCAUUUAAAUGAUUAACACACUUACUAUUAGCAGGGUAGAAGAUAAUUACAGAAUGAUUCACAAUGUUUUGUUAUUGUAAUAGCUACUUGUAUUUGGGUUGUGGUAACAUUCAAAAUUGUUCAGCACAACUGCAAAAAACCUAUCAAAGUCUAUAAAUACUUCACAGGCAAACAGAGACAACACUGUGUCACACUGGACAUGCUAAUUAUGGAAGAUCCUCAAACCAGAUAGAUAUCUUUUCUUUCUUUCACACUUUCUGCUUUUUGUUUCCUCUUUAACAUUGUUUUUUUAGCUACUUGUUCCAGUUGGCCUUCAUUGAUAUUUAUUGCUUUUUUUGUAGGACUCUGGAAAAUACAACUGACUGGUAUAUUUAUAUCAUGUGAAUAUGUAAUGAGUGCUAUCAGAUCAUCUUUUUGCUCAUUCAAAAUUCUAAGUAGAAUGGAUCUUCUGUACCUUAUCUGCCCAGUUUCAGCAAUGCCUUAAGCACUGAAUUUUUUUAUAGUGAUAUUCAGGCUGAUUUUCAGACUUGUUUUCUUGCAUAUUUUGUUUUACUCCUAAAGAUACUGAUGGACGGUGCAAAAUAUCACUUCAUUUCUUCUAAAAUCUAGCCUCAGUAUCUGUACCUGGCUUUAUUAUGACUCUGUGUUUGGAUAUUUUUUUGUUCAGGAAGAGGGAAUAGAAGUGGGGUUCAACAGAUGUGAUUAUAAUAUUGUAACAUCCUUUAAGAGUGCUGGGUAAGUUGCUCACCUUGUUCUUCUUUCUACUCUGAGGAGCCUGGGAAAAGUGUAAGUUCUGUUAGUUAUUGUGUGUUUACUGGGAUUUGCCCCACUCCUGCAAUAUGAAUAAACUUGUUUAUGAAUAAUAAAUCUGAUAAUGAAU